rnacentral:lncRNA from 1 species
GUCAGAAAAGCACAUGUUCAGCUGUUAUGGCUGCCAAAAUAGGGAGCUGGUCCCUUCACGUCAAUUACCAAAUACUUCCAUGUUGCUGUAACCAAAGUCAUUGUCAUACACUUUCACAGUAUUUUUAAUAUUAACAUGUUCAUCUAAAUUACAUUUUCCCUUCCAGGCUCUGAGAUCCACUCUUGAAGACCAGAAACAGAGGAACAUACACUUAGAUGAACUUCUGGGACAACAGAGGCAAUUACUAAAUGAUUUGCAGCAACAAAUAGAGUCACAGAGAAUGUUGUAUAAUGUGCAGUUAGCAGAAGAACAAGGCCAGAACUUAGAGCUUCAGGUUCUUCUGGAGUCUGAAAAAGUUAAGAUUCAGGAGAUGAAGGACACCCUAGACAAGGAGAGGGAGCUGCAUAGCAAUGGCGGGCAGCCCCAGCCAGCCUUCCCUCCUGAGGGACCAUUAGAAGAAAAGCAGAAACACAUAAUGGAACUGGUAAAUGAAAGUCAAAAGUAUAAAUGGGUUUCCUUGCGAGCAAAACAGCAGAUGGAAAAGGGCAGGCAGGUUCAGCAAAAGACAUUGCAGGUGGAAAAAGAAGCUAACAUCCUGGGCCAGCAGAAAAUGGAGGAGCUGCAGAGCAAAGUGGAAGAGCUUCAGUGCCAGCUGCAGGAAAAAAGGCACCAAGUACAUAAACUAGACCUUGAAGGGAGGAGACUGCAAGGGGUAAUGCAGGGAUUCCAACAGCAGGAGCUAGAGCAGAAGGGAAAAGAGGAAAGUAGACGACUUCUGUAUCAGAAUGUUAAUGAGGGAGCUGCUUGGAGUUUUACUGACGACCGAACUAGAAAUUGGGUUCUUCAACAGAAAAUGGAAGGAGAGAGCAAAGACACAAGCUAUGCAAAGUUGAUGGAAAUGAAUAGAGAAAAGGAUGACUCUGAUAAUGAAGUAGAAAUUAUCAGACAGAAACUUCAGCAUGUGGCUACGAAAAUUCAACAACUACAGCCCAGAAAGCCUGUGACAGGGUAGACUUCUGCCCACUGUAUAGAAAUGACACUCU